AGCAGCCGCGGUAAUUCCAGCUCCAAUAGCGUAUAUUAAAGUCGUUGCAGUUAAAAAGCUCGUAGUUGAAUUUCGGGGUUCAUACGUUGGUCGGGCUUUUUGGUCUGUACUAGCGUAAUGGAUUCCUACCUUCUGAAUAACCGGCAUGCCAUUAAUUUGGUGCGCCGGGGAAGCAGGACUGUUACCUUGAAAAAUUAGAGUGCUUAAAGCAGGCUAUCGCCUGAAUACAUUAGCAUGGAAUAAUGAAAUAGGACGGCAUGGUUCUAUUUUGUUGGUUUCUAGGAUCACCGUAAUGAUUAAUAGGGAUAGUUGGGGGCAUUAGUAUUCAAUUGUCAGAGGUGAAAUUCUUGGAUUUAUUGAAGACUAACUUCUGCGAAAGCAUUUGCCAAGGAUGUUUUCAUUAAUCAAGAACGAAAGUUAGGGGAUCGAAGACGAUCAGAUACCGUCGUA
rnacentral:rRNA from 1 species